rnacentral:lncRNA from 1 species
AAAUAAUCUACACUACAAAAAUCCUCACGAAAUGGUGGAAUAAAUUAACGACAAAAGCAAAGUUGCCCGAACGGGUAGAGAUUAGCAUAGAGUGGAAUUAAAGCAUCGAGUUGAGCUGGUCUCUAACCAGGCGAAUCGCAUCGAAAACUUUUCGUUUUGCUGGAAGCUUGAAUACCAAAGAGCAACAACACCACUCAAUUAAUUCAGUUCAUCGAAACUAAUGCUGAGACGCCUAAGCAAAGGAGGAAGAAAUGGGAGCAGAAAUAAAAGCAAAAACCCUUGCAUACAAACAAUUGUACCCAUGUUGCCACUUCAGCUCUACAACAACAACAACAACAAGCAAAGAGGAAAGCUACAGCAACACAAUUUGAGCCUUUGAAACUGUAAACAACAUCCAAGCGAUUGAAAAAUAAAACCAAAACAAACAAGAAUUAUUGAAAAA